GAAUAAUUUAAGGAUAAUCUUUAUACAAUGCGCCAAAAUAUUCAAGUGUCCUUGCUGAUCUCACAGAGCAUCCAAGGCUCAGGAGGAGUAUGCAGCUCCAUUGGUAGAGUGCUUGCCUACCACGCAUGAAACCCCAAGCUUAUCAUAAGCCAGGUGUGGUAGCAUAGACCUGCAAUCCUAGCACUCCAGAGCCGGAGGCAGGAGGAUCAGAACUUCAAGGCCAGCCUUUGCUACUGUAUAGAGUUAAAGGCCAGUUUUUGAUCAUGAGAUUUUGUCUCCAAAAAUUUAAAAAAAAAAAUCAAGUAAAGCUCAAAGAUAUUAAGAAACUGCCCCAUGAUCAAGGGUGAAAGGUGCUUUUAGUACCAGUCUUUUGGCUUUAGGGCUGGUGUUUUAAACCACUAUCAUACUUUUUCUAAACUUGCCUCUUGACACGUGGAACCCAGAUGUUGUAGAGUCUAAAAUCUAAACAAUUUGGAAAGGGUUUCAUUAACACCCCACAAAUUUUGGUUAUACCUCCAACUGAAAAAAAAAUACAAGGGUCACCCUAAGACUUUGCUUUGUAGUACAUGUGGCAGGGGGUGGGGAGGUAAGGGCCUAUAUAUGUGGAGGCCAGAGGUUGAUGCCAGAUGCCUUUCUUGAGAAUUCUCCAUCUUUUACACGGGGCAGAGUCUCUCGCUUGAAGUCAGAGCUUGCAGAUUAAACUUCUGUAGCUAAGCAGCUUUCUCCAGGGCUCCCCUCCUCCUAAGUGCCUGAACUGUAAGCAGGUCACCUGUAGAAGUAACUUCAAUUCCUCUUAUGUAAUUGUCAUAUCUGAGACUUACUGCUAACUCAGCUCACCCUUUCUGGUUCUUUCUGAACUCUAGCUGGCUAGUCCAACUUAGCUGUUCUGGCUCAAACUGCUCUCCAAGGUUCAAUCUGGCUUCUCUCAGCUUCUCGCUGAAUUGCUCUGCUUGGUCUCAAACUAACUCUGGCAAUUUGUUAUAAGCUUCUGGCUACUCCUUAUUCUUCGACUUAUAUUGUCUCUGCUGCCCUGCACACAGCUGCAUGGAACAAACUCAACUCCACUGACUCCCACCUGUUAACUGACAGAACUAAACUCACCUGAAGUGCACUCAUUGAACCGCCCUCUAGUUAGAUGUCACUUUCAAACACGGUUGCUUCCUUCUACAAAACAAAAACAAAACCAACCUUACCUACAUUGUUUGGCAUUAAAAGUUUGUACUAACGGUGUGUUGUAUUCCAGCCAGGAGGAUUAAAGCUAUGUGACACACCUGCAUUCCAGCUGGAUCACACAGACCUAAGAAGAUCUCUGGAUAUGAUCCCUAGCCAGAGAAGCCAUGUUGCUGGAUUAAAAUUCCUCUAGAGUCACUCAAUAUCCAUCCAACAUGUACAUAGGUUCUGGGUAUCUGCUCUGUAGUGGCUCCAUUGGAUCCACCCUGGGACUUGAUGCCUGUGUCUUGUGUCCUGGCUCUGUCAGUUCCUUCUUUACACCCAGGGUGGAGGCCGAUUCUCUCUGCUGCUAUUCAUAUCUAUAUUUGUUCAGGGGCUUCCUUCCUGACCCCCCUUUCACGUCAAGAUCAUCCCCUUUCGGUGCCUUUGGCUUGGAUGUCUAACUCCAAGCAUAACUCAAAAUCCAAACCACAGUAAGAUAAAGCCAAACACAGGUUUAUUCCUCACUUUUCGUUAUCGGGGACUUGGUCCUCAGAGGACAAAGGCUCAGACAAAAGCGAAUGCUCCUCAAGUCGUCCACAGGGGAUUAAAUGACAGAAGCGAAAUUGGGCUUUCCGUUUCUUUGAAGCAAGUAAACACUAUGUUACUAUUUUAUCUAUUUUCCUCUUUGUUGGUUGUGUUUUAAGGACAAAAGAGCAAUGAAGGAAGCUACAGUUUGAACAGUUGUUUUAAUUGGUACCUUCAGCUGAAUCAGAGAAUCUCUCAUUGUUACUUCUUGGUAAACAUAAGGAUUAAUUAUUAAAUAUACCCUGAAAAGAAAGAGUGGGUUAGGAUAAGGUGUAAUUAUCAGAUCAUCUUCACUGGGCAUAUUGGCUCACGCACUCAGGCAGAUCUCUGUGAGUUCGAGGACAGCCUGGUCUACAUAGUGAGUUCUAGGACAGCCAGAGCUACAUAGUGAGACCUUGUCUCGAAUCCCUACUUGCCCACCCCAAAGAAUUAGGUAAGCUUUGAACAACAACAACAACAACAACAAAAUAACCACAAAAGCAAUCAACAUGGGGAAAGUUGGGAUACUACUAGGACUUCGUAUUUUAGGGCUCGUUAAGCUAUGGGAGAUUAUAAUUAGUAGCUAUAAGGAGGAGGCAUAAAGAUGAAAGAAAAGACAGGAAGCAGAAGAGUGUGUGAGGCGGCAGAAAGGAUGGAAACCAUGCCUCAUGGAAGACAGGGUGGGACACAGAAGAAACAGGCUAACGAACACCUAAGCGUCAUGAGACACACAUGCAGGCGUAGACACUGAACACUAGAAGGUAAGAGAUAAAGAGAGAAUUCCUGCCAACUGAGUUAAAAGGAGAUGUUCUCAGCUCCAGCUCCAGCAGGCUCCCUGCAGUGGUGUGUGGCAGAUAGGGGAACGGGACUCUGUGUCUCUGCGGUCUCUGUGUUCAUGGAGUCUAUGGGACUUUGGGGGCCAGCCUGCUUCUCAGAUGUCCUGUCCUCUGUGCUUCCCUCUCUGCUACUUAACGUUUACCUGAAAAACUCUGCUGCUGGUAUUAUCCCCCCCAUCUCCCACCCACUCAGAAAAAUUCCUUGUACUUUCUUUGUUUGUUUGUUGAUUGGUUAGUUUGGUUUUUUGCUUUUGUUUUUUUGUUUUGUUUUGUUUUUGUUUGUUUUUUGACACAUGGCUUUGCUAUGUAGCCCUGGUUAUAUGAGAAUUCUCUAUGUACACCAAGCUAGUCCCCAAAUGGCAAUGAUCCUUCAGAGUGUUUCCUAAGCCGACGUGUGUCACCAUGUCCAGUUGGGUUUUUUUUUUUCUUUUUUUAGAUUUUAUUUAUUUAUUUACUUAUUUCUUUAAUGUAUGAGUGCUCUAUCAGCAUGCACACCUGCAUGCCAGAAGAAGGCAUCAGAUCCUAUUACAGAUGGUUGUGAGCUACCACAUGGUUGCUGGGAAUUGAAGUCAGGACCUCUGGAGGAGCAGACUGAACCAUCUCUCCGUUGGUUUUUGAGAUAGGGUCUCGCUCACUCAGUAGUCAUCCUGCAUUAAAUUUCUCACUCAGGUGAUACACAAACCGUAUUUGCAGGAAAACAAAGGGAGAAUAAAAAUUCGUUCUCUUGGAUCAGGAGGGGGAUAAAGUCUGGACUGUAAG
rnacentral:lncRNA from 1 species